GGCGGUGUGGUGCAGUGGUUAGCAUACCUGACCGGUAAUUAUGAGGCUACAGGUUCGAAUCAUGACGCCCUCU
rfam:Ixodes scapularis strain Wikel colony gcontig_1108379551087, whole genome shotgun sequence.